GGAGGAUUAGCGAAGUGGCCAAACGCGGCAGACUGUAAAUCUGUUCCUUCGGGUUCGGUGGUUCAAAUCCAUCAUCCUCCACCA
rnacentral:tRNA from 6 species